UACGGAGGGAGCUAGCGUUGUUCGGAAUUACUGGGCGUAAAGCGCGCGUAGGCGGCUUUGUAAGUUAGAGGUGAAAGCCCGGAGCUCAACUCCGGAAUUGCCUUUAAGACUGCAUCGCUAGAAUCAUGGAGAGGUUAGUGGAAUUCCGAGUGUAGAGGUGAAAUUCGUAGAUAUUCGGAAGAACACCAGUGGCGAAGGCGACUUACUGGAUCAUGACUGACGCUGAGGCUCGAAAGCGUGGGGAGCAAACAGG
rnacentral:rRNA from 1 species